UACGUAGGGUGCGAGCGUUGUCCGGAAUUAUUGGGCGUAAAGAGCUCGUAGGCGGUUUGUCGCGUCGGCCGUGAAAACUUGGGGCUUAACCCCAAGCUUGCGGUCGAUACGGGCAGACUUGAGUUCGGCAGGGGAGACUGGAAUUCCUGGUGUAGCGGUGAAAUGCGCAGAUAUCAGGAGGAACACCGGUGGCGAAGGCGGUUCUCUGGGCAUGUCCUGACGCUGAGGAGCGAAAGUGUGGGGAGCGAACAGG
rnacentral:rRNA from 1 species